UCGUGGACCGUUGCGGUGGGAUUCUCAACGUGGCUGCACUUGGCUCACCCCCCAGCACCCACAAACUGCUUGGUCUGACACAAAAAGCACUUUCUGGUGAGUAUAAAUCCAGGGAGGGGAGGGAGAUGAUUUAAUUGCUUGUCUCUUUUGGGUGCAGGGGAGGGCUGGGCCACCCCCACACUGCCCAGGAGCCCUCUUGGCCGAUUCCAGCCAGCGCCGCGUUUUCCCCGUCCCUCCAUCCCUACAACCUGGGCAAGGAGGCAACUUUCUGUCAUCAGAAAGGGUUCACAAAUGAGGACUGAACGUGGAGUCAGCUGCAAGAUCCAGCCCUUCCCUGUUGGCUCCUCAAACUCUUGGGAAUUUCUUCCCCCCCCCCCCCCCAACCUGCAAGCCCUGACACAUCCCAGGCACCACGCGUGGGACACGGAGGAGGCAGUUUUGCACCCAUCCAGCAGAGGCAGGAGGGGAAGAGCAUCGAGUUCGAAAAGACAAGUGACAUUUCAGCCGAGCCACAAACGUCCCGAGCGCUGGAGCUUCAGGGGCCAAGGGCUGAAGUGAUGUAAAUCAGGGGGACAACAGGCCCCUGGGUGGAUCUCUGCUGAUUUACAUCAGGAUCCUUUCACUCCUUUGAUUUCCACCCAGCAAUUCCCAGGAAAAUCAAACCCAGACCAGAUCUUCAUCCUGGAAAAGAGUUUAAAUGCUGAAGCAAAAAAAUAUUUGCUUUAUUGAGGUAGGAGGGGAUGAAGUGGGGGGAACAAUCCCUUGUUUGAAGUAUUUUUAACAUCUCUUCAUCUCGAGUCAAACCAAGGAUGAAGCAAGGGACAAAUCCUGGGGAUUUGCUGGGGAAG